GUGGGUUCUCAGGUUAUAUUAAUCCUUCAGUUUCCUUAGAAGGAUGAUCAGGUAUUUUCAGGGAAUUUAGUCUGUUUUGAGGCUGCUGCACACAACUGGUACAUUGAUUUCACAUAAACCAGAUGUCAAAAAUAAUGAAAUUCCUACCACUAGGCUCUCAUUUUACUGGAGACUCGUUUUGGGCCUAGAAAUCAUGAGAAACAUUGCUUUUGUCUUUGAGUGGAGCAAAAAAGGAAACACUCAGCCUUCACAGCUGGAAGAGAAGCAAUGAUCCCAAGAAGAACCCCUUUCUCAGUGCAACACUUGUCCAUUACUUCCUUCUAGCAGUGUGCAGCAGCAGCAGCUCUGCUCCUCCCCUCAGUGACGUGGCUGCUCGCCUUUCCCUGGCCUCUGCUGUGAGAUUGCUGACCCCAAGAACUCACUUGUGUGUCAGCCAGGCAUGA
rnacentral:lncRNA from 1 species